rnacentral:rRNA from 1 species
UACGGGGGGGGUAAGCGUUGUUCGGAAUUACUGGGCGUAAAGGGCUCGUAGGCGGCCAACUAAGUCAUACGUGAAAUCCCUCAGCUUAACUGGGGAACUGCGUGUGAUACUGGAUGGCUUGGAUGUGGGAGAGGGAUGCGGAAUUCCAGGUGUAGCGGUGAAAUGCGUAGAUAUCUGGAGGAACACCGGUGGCGAAGGCGGCGUCCUGGACCAACACUGACACUGAGGAGCGAAAGCCAGGGGAGCAAACGGG